ensembl:piRNA 21ur-6604 ncRNA
UAUUGUGGACUUUUCUACAUU